rnacentral:rRNA from 1 species
GAUCAUGGCUCAGAUUGAACGCUGGCGGCAGGCCUAACACAUGCAAGUCGAACGGUAACAGGAAGCAGCCUGCUGCUUCGCUGACGAGUGGCGGACGGGUGAGUAAUGUCUGGGAAACUGCCUGAUGGAGGGGGAUAACUACUGGAAACGGUAGCUAAUACCGCAUAACGUCGCAAGACCAAAGAGGGGGGACCUUCGGGCCUCUUGCCAUCGGAUGUGCCCAGAUGGGAUUAG